rnacentral:rRNA from 1 species
GACGAACGCUGGCGGCGUGCUUAACACAUGCAAGUCGAGCGGUAAGGCCCUUUCGGGGGUACACGAGCGGCGAACGGGUGAGUAACACGUGGGUGACCUGCCCUCAGCUCUGGGAUAAGCCUGGGAAACUGGGUCUAAUACUGGAUAUGACUCCACGGUGCAUGUCGUGGGGUGGAAAGCCUUGUGCGGCUGAGGAUGGGCCCGCGGCCUAUCAGCUUGCUGGUGGGGUGAUGGCCUACCAAGGCGACGACGGGUAGCCGGCCUGAGAGGGCGACCGGCCACACUGGGACUGAGACACGGCCCAGACUCCUACGGGAGGCAGCAGUGGGGAAUCUUGCGCAAUGGGCGAAAGCCUGACGCAGCGACGCCGUGUGAGGGAUGACGGCCU